AGAAUGAAGAGUUUGAUCCUGGCUCAGGAUGAACGCUAGCGACAGGCUUAACACAUGCAAGUCGAGGGGCAGCACGGAUAGCAAUAUCUGGUGGCGACCGGCGCACGGGUGAGUAACACGUAUGCAACCUUCCCUUCACCGGGGCAUAUCCCAUGGAAACGUGGAUUAAUAUCCCAUACAGUCGAAAUAUCGCCUGA
rnacentral:rRNA from 1 species